rnacentral:rRNA from 1 species
GCAAGUCGCACGAGAACGCUUCAGCUUGCUGAAGUUAGUAAAGUGGCGCACGGGUGAGUAACGCGUGGGUAAUCUACCUCCGGAUCGGGGAUAACAUUGCGAAAGCGAUGCUAAUACCGGAUAAUACCUCUUGAACCCGGUUUUCGAGAUCAAGGUUGCCUCUCCUUGGAAGCUUCUGUUUGAGGAUGAGCCCGCGUACCAUUAGCUUGUUGGUAGGGUAACGGCCUACCAAGGCUGCGAUGGUUAGCUGGUCUGAGAGGAUGAUC